rnacentral:rRNA from 1 species
CCUAGGGGGGGCAGCAGUGGGGAAUAUUGGGCAAUGGACGCAAGUCUGACCCAGCAACGCCGCGUGAAGGAAGAAGGCUUUCGGGUUGUAAACUUCUUUUAAGGGGGAAGAGCAGAAGACGGUACCCCUUGAAUAAGCCACGGCUAACUACGUGCCAGCAGCCGCGGUAAUACGUAGGUGGCAAGCGUUGUCCGGAUUUACUGGGUGUAAAGGGCGUGCAGCCGGAGAGGCAAGUCAGAUGUGAAAUCCGCGGGCUCGACUCGCGAACUGCAUUUGAAACUGCUUCCCUUGAGUAUCGGAGAGGUAAUCGGAAUUCCUAGUGUAGCGGUGAAAUGCGUAGAUAUUAGGAGGAACACCAGUGGCGAAGGCGGCUUACUGGACUGUAACUGACGUUGAGGCUCGAAAGCGUGGGGAGCAAACAGGAUUAGAUACCCGGGUAGUC